UACGUAGGGUGCAAGCGUUAAUCGGAAUUACUGGGCGUAAAGCGUGCGCAGGCGGUUCGCUAAGACAGAUGUGAAAUCCCCGGGCUUAACCUGGGAACUGCAUUUGUGACUGGCGGGCUAGAGUAUGGCAGAGGGGGGUAGAAUUCCACGUGUAGCAGUGAAAUGCGUAGAGAUGUGGAGGAACACCGAUGGCGAAGGCAGCCCCCUGGGUUAACACUGACGCUCAGGCACGAAAGCGUGGGGAGCAAACAGG
rnacentral:rRNA from 1 species